UUUGGUGUUGGUCAAUAUAACUACAUUGAUGUCUCCUAUUGUUGAAGAUAAGCAGCUUGUGCAAAUUGUGAUAUUGUUUCAUUGCUAAGGAAGAUGUUUUUUUUUAAUGCGAGUAGCUUCUUAUCUCUGAUACCUUUCCUACUUAUCAUGAUGCUUCCUGUAUUCUUGCAAAAUUUUCAUUUUAUCUUUUCAACAGGUUCAAGUCAGCAAUUCACCACUAUACAAAGUUGAAAGGAAGCUAGGAAAAGGUGGAUUUGGACAAGUUUAUGUUGGCCGUCGAAUUUCACCUGCCAGCACAAGUGAUAGGACCACUGGUUCUAGUGCUGUAGAGGUAGCGCUCAAGUUCGAGCACAGGACCAACAAAGGUUGUAAUUAUGGUCCACCUUAUGAAUGGCAAGUGUACAACACACUUGGUGGUAUUCACGGGGGUGCCAAAAGUUUAUUACAAGGGCAGGCAAGGGGACUACUAUGUCAUGAUUAUGGAUAUACUGGGACCAA